ACGAUUGAGAGAGGCGAGUACGUUGAGAGAGCGAGUGAAGUGAGAGAGGAGGACGAUGAAGCAUUGCUGUUACUUUUGUUUUUAUUGUUUUUUUUGUUUUUUUUAGUCUUAACCAAACAAAUCUUUAAGAUAUAAAAGACUAUAAAGAAUAUAAUAUGUUUAGUUUUUUUAAUAGUAUAUUAAUGAUUAUUAAUGGCAGGGUUAAUUAGGGUAGUCUUUUUUAUUAUUUAGUUUUUUAUUUUAUUUCUUUUUUUUAGUUUAUCUUAGUUUAUAUAUUUAAGUUAGUAUUAAAAUAUCAGUUAGUUAAUAAGUGGCUUGGUGGAGAGGAGUGACUUCUAGAUCUUUAGGGUAGUGGGUUUGAUACUCCUAGGCGUAGUUUUUCUUUCUUUUAUUAUAUUUAGGCUUUAUUAUUCAUAUUUCUUUUUUUAUUUAUU
rnacentral:lncRNA from 1 species